rnacentral:ncRNA from 1 species
AGCGAUACUGACGUGCAAAUCGUUCGUCUGACUUGGGUAUAGGGGCGAAAGACUAAUCGAACCAUCUAGUAGCUGGUUCCCUCCGAAGUUUCCCUCAGGAUAGCUGGAGCCCAUUACGAGUUCAAUCAGGUAAAGCCAAUGAUUAGAGGCAUUGGGGACGCAACGUCCUCGACCUAUUCUCAAACUUUAAAUAGGUAGGAUGGCUCGGCUG